GAUGAACGCUGGCGGCGUGCCUAAUACAUGCAAGUCGAGCGAACGGACGAGAAGCUUGCUUCUCUGAUGUUAGCGGCGGACGGGUGAGUAACACGUGGAUAACCUACCUAUAAGACUGGGAUAACUUCGGGAAACCGGAGCUAAUACCGGAUAAUAUUUUGAACCGCAUGGUUCAAAAGUGAAAGACGGUCUUGCUGUCACUUAUAGAUGGAUCCGCGCUGCAUUAGCUAGUUGGUAAGGUAACGGCUUACCAAGGCAACGAUGCAUAGCCGACCUGAGAGGGGGAUCGCCCACAGUGGACCUGAGACACGGUCCAGACUCCUACGGGAGGCAGAAGUAGGGAACCUUCGGAAAUGGGCGAAAGCUUGACGGAGCAACGCGGGGUGAGUGAUGAAGGUCUUCGGUUCGUAAAACUCUGUUAUUAGGGAAGAACAUAUGUGUAAGUAACUGUGCCCAUCUUGACGGUACCUAAUAAGAAAGCCACGGCUAACUAGGU
rnacentral:rRNA from 1 species